UACGAAGGGGGCUAGCGUUGUUCGGAAUCACUGGGCGUAAAGCGCACGCAGGCGGAUUGAUAAGUCAGGGGUGAAAUCCUGGAGCUCAACUCCAGAACUGCCUUUGAUACUGGCGAUCUUGAGUUCGGGAGAGGUGAGUGGAACUGCGAGUGUAGAGGUGAAAUGCGUAGAUAUGCGGAGGAACACCGAUGGCGAAGGCAAUCCCCUGGGCCUGCACUGACGCUCAUGCACGAAAGCGUGGGGAGCAAACAGG
rnacentral:rRNA from 1 species